UACGGGGGGGGGUAAGCGUUGUUCGGAAUUACUGGGCGUAAAGGGCUCGUAGGCGGCCAACUAAGUCAGACGUGAAAUCCCUCAGCUUAACUGGGGAACUGCAUCUGAUACUGGAUGGCUUGAGUUCGGGAGAGGGAUGCGGAAUUCCAGGUGUAGCGGUGAAAUGCGUAGAUAUCUGGAGGAACACCGGUGGCGAAGGCGGCAUCCUGGACCGACACUGACGCUGAGGAGCGAAAGCCAGGGGAGC
rnacentral:rRNA from 1 species